UUAAGCAAUUCAAAAGCAUAGCCAUAUUCUUGUUGUGUCAACAAACAAGAAUAAACCUUCCUUAGAUUUUUCAAGACUUGAAUGCAAUUCGAAACAGAGUAUUGUUCAUCAACAAUGUCAUCUUUUUCAACAAUUUCUUGUGGCAUUAUUCGCUCCUUUUUCACCUAAUGUCAAAAACACCACAAAAAGAAUGUAACAUUAGACAAUAAUAAUGUUAAGAUAUGUGUUUGAAAAAUCUAAAGACAUGGUUA
rnacentral:lncRNA from 1 species